rnacentral:rRNA from 1 species
AAGGAAUGCUAGCUAUAUGCUUAACACAUGCAAGUUGAACGUUGUUUUCAGAGAGCUGGGCAGAAAGAAAAAAGGCUCCUAGCUAAAGGUAGCUUGUCUCGCCCAGGAGGUGAGAACAGUUGAGAACAAAGUGGCGAACGGGUGCGUAACGUGUGGGAAUAUGCCGAACAGUUUGGGCCAAAUCCUGAAGAAAGCUAAAAAGCGCUGUUUGAUGAGCCUGCGUAGUAUUAGGUAGUUGGUCAGGUAAAGGCUGACCAAGCCAAUGAUGCUUAGCUGGUCUUUUCGGAUUAUCAGCCACACUGGGACUGAGACACGGCCCAAACUCCCACGGGGGCCAGCAGUGGGGAAUCUUGGACAAUGGGCGAAAGCCCGAUCUAGCAAUAUCGAGUGAGUGAAGAAGGGUAAUGCCGCUUGUAAAGCUCUUUCGUUGAGUGCGCGAUCAUGACAGGACUCGAGGAAGAAGCCCCGGCUAACUCCGUGCCAGCCGCCGCCGUAAAAC